rnacentral:rRNA from 1 species
UACGGAGGGUGCAAGCGUUAAUCGGAAUUACUGGGCGUAAAGCGCACGCAGGUGGCUGAGUCAGUCGAUUGUGAAAGCCCUGGGCUUAACCUGGGAAUUGCAGUCGAUACUACUCAGCUAGAGUAUGGGAGAGGGUAGUGGAAUUCCCGGUGUAGCGGUGAAAUGCGUAGAUAUCGGGAGGAACAUCAGUGGCGAAGGCGAAUCCCUGGAAAAAUACCUGACACUGAGGCACGAAAGCUAGGGGAGCAAACAGG